rnacentral:rRNA from 1 species
UACGUAGGGAGCAAGCGUUGUCCGGAAUCAUUGGGCGUAAAGCGCGCGUAGGCGGCCCUGUAAGUCCGCUGUGAAAGUCAAAGGCUCAACCUUUGAAAGCCGGUGGAUACUGCAGGGCUAGAGUCCGGAAGAGGCGAGUGGAAUUCCUGGUGUAGCGGUGGAAUGCGUAGAGAUGUGGAGGAACACCGAUGGCGAAGGCAGCCCCCUGGGACUAACACUGACGCUCAUGCACGGAAAGCGCUGGGGGAGCAAACAGG